GACGAACGCUGGCGGCGUGCUUAACACAUGCAAGUCGAACGGAAAGGCCCUGCUUUUGUGGGGUGCUCGAGUGGCGAACGGGUGAGUAACACGUGAGUAACCUGCCCUUGACUUUGGGAUAACUUCAGGAAACUGGGGCUAAUACCGGAUAGGAGCUCCUGCUGCAUGGUGGGGGUUGGAAAGUUUCGGCGGUUGGGGAUGGACUCGCGGCUCAUCAGCUUGUUGGUGGGGUAGUGGAUUACCAAGGCUUUGACGGGUAGCCGGCCUGAGAGGGUGACCGGCCACACUGGGACUGAGAUACGGCCCAGACUCCUACGGGAGGCAGCAGUGGGGAAUAUUGCACAAUGGGCGGAAGCCUGAUGCAGCAACGCCGCGUGCGGGAUGACGGCCUUCGGGUUGUAAACCGCUUUCGCCUGUGACGAAGCGUGAGUGACGGUAAUGGGUAAAGAAGCACCGGCUAACUACGUG
rnacentral:rRNA from 1 species